AAAAAGAUUGGAGGGUUUUUUCAUUAGCCAAAAAAAAAUACAUUAGCAGACUUUGAGUCCAAUCGGAUUGGUUUCGCAGAUUCAAAGAGGUUGUGUAUUUACAGACCUUUUCAGCUCAAGUUUUCCUAUAACUGAUUUGUUACAUGGGUUAAGUGUGACGGUAAGUAACUAGGGUUUACUCUUAAGACUUGAAUCAUAAAACUGAACAGAUUCAAGGGGGAUCCGGCUUGUCUCCAACGAUCGACGCUCCAACAAGCGUCCAACGACCUCGCGGAUGGUCGACGCAUGGAGACGUGCAAUCUAACUGCUCCGGCUGCUGAACAACCUCAACGACUAACGCGAUGGUUUUCGAAUUCGACUCGUCUCCCUCUCUCUGUUCACACCACAGUACCGCCCCCUCUCAACUACUCUGUACUCAGGUGGUUAACAGAGGAGUAGCAGUCCAAGCCAUCGUUCAGCCGUCGAGAUAAGGAUCUGGUUCUACUCGUCUAAAUCUGUCGUUCAGCCGUCGUUUAAGGGUUAAGCAGAUUUUCGAACAGCCGUGGAAACCCUACCGUCGUUCAGCGAGAGAUUGAAAUCAAACAUUGAGACUCUCUCUCUCUCUCUCUCUCUUCGGCAGGAUCAUUGAGCAUUGUUUAAGAUCGCAGAGCUUUCAAAGGGGUUGUAGUCAGGUAGCUUCAGGAUCGCAGAGGUGCAUACCAAGGGUGCCCAGGGAGUAAUCAAAGGCAGGCUUUACAGAUUGAAGAGUUGAUAGUGGCAGAAGGCAGAUAGAUGGAGAAACCGGCAAACCAGGUUUUAAAACCAUCGACCACAUUCAUCCGAGCAGAUAAAACCAGCUUCCGUGAACUGGUUCAACGCUUAACCUGUCCACCCACAGAUUGUGAUCAGCAAACACCCACUGCACCUCCUACUAAUGAAGGGGCAACUAUGAAGGUCACAGGCGUCAAGAGACCCACAUCCAGACUCCAUGAGAGGCGGCAACACACAAAAUCUAGGCUGGAGAUAGUAAAACCAGGUUUAUCUGUUCUACACACAUCUCAAACCGGUUUUCAUGAGUCCAUGGACCGGUUUUUCUCUCCUUCCAACUCUGGUAGCUUUGCUUUCACUACAAGCCCUUUGGGUACUCCAUCUAAAGCUUUAUUAAACCUUUCCAUCUCUGGUCAAGAUGAUGAAGAAGAAGAGAAAGCCAUCAGAGAAAGAAGGUUUUAUUUACAUCCUUUCCUCCGGUCUAGACCGGGAAAUGUUGAGCCGGAAUUACUUCCUUUGUUUCCACUUACAUCUCCUAAUGCUGCCAAUCAAUUUUAAAAUGUGGUGGUCUAAUCUAAUCUAGAUAGAUAGAACACCUAUUUUAAUGGUGUAUGUAUGUGUCAAAUUUUGUAAUCCAUCUCGACCAUAUGGUUAACAUAUACGAAAAAGUUUUCCUUGAUCAUUGAAGGAAGUGUAUUAUUAUUCUUUCCCUUGUUUA